AACACGGUGGUCUAGCGGUUAGAACGUUGGCCUUGUAAUCCUGGGGUCUCGGGUUCGAUUCCCGGCGGUGCCC
rnacentral:tRNA from 1 species